GCAGGUGUAGUUCAAUGGCAGAACUCCAGCUUCCCAAGCUGGCCACGAGGGUUCGAUUCCCUUCACCUGCUCCA
rnacentral:tRNA from 1 species